GUAUCUGGCAUCAGUUGGAGCAAUAAUCAUCCCAUCCAGCUGCAAGAGAGUGUGUGCAAUUCUUCAGGAUACAGUUCAUUGUCUGCUUCAUGUAGCUUAUGUUGCAGUGGUGGUUUUAUGGCUCACAAACUGAUCAGCUCCUAUAUCUGAAUGUGAUUACAAUCUGACUCCGGACAUGAGGUUUAGGGUCUGGAAACCUAUGUAUCAAAUCUUUCAAGUGGUGGUCAGGCACAACCUGUGCAAAUUAAUACAGAUACAUAUGCUUGGACUCUAUCUGAAUGCAAUGGCAAUCUGACUCUGGACAUGUAAAUUUGGGUCCUGAUAUCUGUGUUUCAGAUCUUUCGAGUUGUGGUCGGGCACAACCUAGACCAACAUACUGGAACAUGAUCAAACCCAAUUGCCACCCUUAGCAAAAGAAUAUAUUGUAGCCAACUGUUUCUAGCAAAACCAUUGUGUUUCUGUGCUGAAAA